rnacentral:rRNA from 1 species
UACAGAGGUCCCAAGCGUUGUUCGGAUUCAUUGGGCGUAAAGGGUGCGUAGGCGGCGCGGUAAGUCGGGUGUGAAAUCUCGGAGCUUAACUCCGAAACUGCAUUCGAUACUGCCGUGCUUGAGGACUGGAGAGGAGACUGGAAUUUACGGUGUAGCGGUGAAAUGCGUAGAUAUCAAGAGGAACACCAGUGGCGAAGGCGAGUCCCUGGACAACUUCUGACGCUGAGGCACGAAAGCUAGGGGAGCAAACAGG